GCCUCCAUUUGGCACUAAAUUACGAGAGAGCCACCGCGUUACCGUCCGUCCUGGUCUUUUUGGGAAAGUCCUCUGACGGAUCUGGCCCAGCGAGCAUUCACCUUUCCCCAGCUGAGAAGUACCGAGGGCUGACGUCAGCAAACGGCGAGGGAGUUAUGGCGUUUGAUGGAUCCGGGGGUUUAUUUGAAGAUGUAACGGGGGUGCAGCAAUACGAACCAUCCACUUGAUGGACCACG
rnacentral:lncRNA from 1 species